CAGCAGACACAUUCCAGCCAAUCAGCAGGUGACCCUCCCUCCCAGACCUUCCCACCUCCUGCACAGCAUCCAUUUUACAUUCAUUGUGAAGCUGCAUUCUUAGUGAGCUGUCCAGGAGGUGGGAGGGUCUGGGAGGGAGGGUCUGCUGCUGAUUGGCUGGAAUGUGUCUGCUG
rnacentral:miRNA from 1 species